CGGCGGACGGGUGAGUAAUGCCUAGGAAUCUGCCUGGUAGUGGGGGACAACGUUUCGAAAGGAACGCUAAUACCGCAUACGUCCUACGGGAGAAAGCAGGGGACCUUCGGGCCUUGCGCUAUCAGAUGAGCCUAGGUCGGAUUAGCUAGUUGGUGAGGUAAUGGCUCACCAAGGCGACGAUCCGUAACUGGUCUGAGAGGAUGAUCAGUCACACUGGAACUGAGACACGGUCCAGACUCCUACGGGAGGCAGCAGAC
rnacentral:rRNA from 1 species